AAGGCCAAACUAUUUCUAUUUCUUCACUCGUUUCUUUCUUCCUUCUCCAACGCCCCACCGGAGAAGACGGUGGUUGCCGGCCAACAGCGGCGGUGCCACCUUCUUCUCCGGCGAACCUCACUCAAACCAAACAAAACUAAACACUACCCUUCCUACUUCAAUCUCGCGGUUACGAAUCCAACCACCAAAACGCCGGAAUCCCCGCCACUAACCCGGAUCGAAAAAACUUUUGAACAAAAAAUAAAAUAGCAACUCCCUACAAACUAACGCAGCGAACGUCAAACACGGUCGGACACAACACAAAGGCAAACCCUAAAUCCUCAAUUAGAGCUACAACCACAACGAUUCGGUGCAAUUGGGUUGGGAUUUACAAUCUAUUCAUCAAGGCGAACAAUAAUAUGCAAAUAUUUUAAGCAAAUGAGAAAGAAGAAGUAUACUUGAUCUGAAGUGGGUCGCUGACGACGUCUUUUCCGUCGCGUUCGAGAUAAGUGGAGGAUCCCCUCGUUCGCACAUGUGAAGAAUGGAGAUAAAUCCAAAGAAUGAUCCUAGGAAUUGUGUAAGCAAUAGCUGUCCCAAUUUUGCCAAGACUUCCGGUUCGUUAUAGUGGAUCUUUCCCCUGAUCUCGUGGGGACCAAAUACGCGAGAGGUCAUGCGUGUGAUGGUUGGAUGUGAAUCGUGAAUGUGAUGAGGCAGUGGGUUGUACACCAAUACGUAGGCUAUGGUCCUAGCUUAGAGGCUCUCUCUAGUUCAGAUGAAAUUCACCAUGAAUCACACCCUGUUCACAAACUUGGUUCUAAAAGAAUGUAAUUAGUGAUGUACUUUAUUUAAUGAUGAAUCUUUUGAAAUCAAUGUAUAUAGUUCCUUUAUCCAUGA